CCUACGGGAGGCAGCAGUGAGGAAUAUUGGUCAAUGGCCGAGAGGCUGAACCAGCCAAGUCGCGUGAGGGAAGACGGCCCUACGGGUUGUAAACCUCUUUUGUAGGGGAGCAAAGAGAGUCACGUGUGACUCAUUGAGAGUACCCGAUGAAAAAGCAUCGGCUAACUCCGUGCCAGCAGCCGCGGUAAUACGGAGGAUGCGAGCGUUAUCCGGAUUUAUUGGGGUUAAAGGGUGCGCAGGCGGAGGUGCAAGUCAGCGGUCAAAUUGUGGGGCUCAACCUCGUACUGCCGUUGAAACUGCUAGUCUAGAGUGGGCUAGAAGUAUGCGGAAUGCGUGGUGUAGCGGUGAAAUGCAUAGAUAUCACGCAGAACUCCGAUUGCGAAGGCAGCAUACCGGCGCCCAACUGACGCUCAUGCACGAAAGCGUGGGUAUCGAACAGGAUUAGAUACUCGUGUAGUC
rnacentral:rRNA from 1 species